rnacentral:lncRNA from 1 species
UAAAAGUUAUUUCUUAAAGUUUUUAAAAUUGUAAACUAAUGAUCUUACAUUAUUUCAAUUUCAAAUCAAUUCCUAUGAUCUAAACAUGUUCUACCAAUAAUCACUUACUUUACAAAAGAUCUUAAUUAAACCUCUUACAAUAUUUUAAUAUUUUCUCUCCCUUAAGAUCAAACUUCAAAGAUGCACCCUUGCAUAUGCCCUUAG